GAUGAACGCUAGCUACAGGCUUAACACAUGCAAGUCGAGGGGAAACGGCAUUAAGUGCUUGCACUUUUUGGACGUCGACCGGCGCACGGGUGAGUAACGCGUAUCCAACCUUCCCAUGACUAAGGGAUAACCUGCCGAAAGGCAGACUAAUACCUUAUGGUCUUCACUGACGGCAUCAGAUGUGAAGUAAAGAUUUAUCGGUUAUGGAUGGGGAUGCGUCUGAUUAGCUUGUUGGCGGGGUAACGGCCCACCAAGGCAACGAUCAGUAGGGGUUCUGAGAGGAAGGUCUCCCACAUUGGAACUGAGACACGGUCCAAACUCCUACGGGAGGCAGCAGUGAGGAAUAUUGGUCAAUGGGCGAGAGCCUGAACCAGCCAAGUAGCGUGCAGGAUGACGGCCCUAUGGGUUGUAAACUGCUUUUGUAUGGGGAUAAAGUCAAUCACGUGUGAUUGUUUGCAGGUACCAUACGAAUAAGGACCGGCUAAUUCCGUGCCAGCAGCCGCGGUAAUACGGAAGGUCCGGGCGUUAUCCGGAUUUAUUGGGUUUAAAGGGAGCGUAGGCUGGAGAUUAAGUGUGUUGUGAAAUGUAGACGCUCAACGUCUGACUUGCAGCGCAUACUGGUUUCCUUGAGUACGCACAACGUUGGCGGAAUUCGUCGUGUAGCGGUGAAAUGCUUAGAUAUGACGAAGAACUCCGAUUGCGAAGGCAGCUGACGGGAGCGCAACUGACGCUGAAGCUCGAAGGUGCGGGUAUCGAACAGG
rnacentral:rRNA from 1 species